ACCUAACUCAGCAGAGUGCCCUGUGUGAGGGCAUUUCCCUCAGCCUGCACUGGACACAUCUCCAGAACCCUGCUGGCCUCUUACACUUCACACUGACUGCUGUGCUGGUUUGAAUGAGAACAGCCACACAGGCUCAUGGGAAUGGAUCCUUCAAAUCCAGCUGAGGCCAUGUUCAGAGAGGAUUGGGAGGUGUGGCCUUGAUGGAGGAUGUGUGCCACGGGUGUGUGCACUGAGGUUUUAAAAGAUUUCACUGGGCUGGACAGAUGGCUCAGUGGUUAAGAGCAACGACUACUCCUGAGUUCAAAUCCCAGCAACCACAUGUUGAUUCACAAUCCUCUGUAAUGAGAUCUGAUGCCCAUUUCCGGUGUCAGAAGACAGCUACAGUGUGCUUUAUGAAUUAUAUAUAAUAUAAUUUUAUAUAAAUUAUAAUUUAUAUAUAUAAUUUUUAAAAACCGAGUUUCACUAUUCCCAAUGUCUCAGCCUGUUGCUUGCAAAUCAGGUCGGGAGGUCUCAGCUGUUACCCAGGAAACCUCUCAGGACUAAGAAUGAAGAUCCUUGUAAAACGCA
rnacentral:lncRNA from 1 species